rnacentral:rRNA from 1 species
AUACGUAGGUGCCAAGCGUUAUCCGGAUUUACUGGGCGUAAAGGGCGUGUAGGCGGUCUUGCAAGUCAGAAGUGAAAUUCCUGAGCUCAACUCGGGCGCUGCUUCUGAAACUGCAGGACUUGAGUGCUGGAGGGGAUAGCGGAAUUCCUAGUGGAGCGGUAAAAUGCGCAGAUAUUAGGAGGAACACCGGUGGCGAAGGCGGCUAUCUGGACAGUAACUGACGCUGAGGCGCGAAAGCGUGGGGAGCAAACAGGAUUAGAUCCCCUGGUAGUCCACGCCGUAAACGAUGAAUACUAGGUGUAGGGGGUAUCGACUCCCUCUGUGCCGCAGUUAACACAAUAAGUAUUCCGCCUGGGGAGUACGGCCGCAAGGUUGAAACUCAAAUGAAUCGGCGGGG